UACGUAGGGUGCAAGCGUUGUCCGGAAUUAUUGGGCGUAAAGAGCUCGUAGGCGGUUUGUCGCGUCUGCUGUGAAAACUCGGGGCUUAACCCCGGGCCUGCAGUGGGUACGGGCAGACUAGAGUGCGGUAGGGGAGACUGGAAUUCCUGGUGUAGCGGUGAAAUGCGCAGAUAUCAGGAGGAACACCGGUGGCGAAGGCAGGUCUCUGGGCAUUAACUGACGCUGAGGAGCGAAAGCUAGGGGAGCAAACAGG
rnacentral:rRNA from 1 species